rnacentral:misc_RNA from 1 species
GAUGAAGAACGUAGCGAAAUGCGAUAAGUGAUGUGAAUUGCAGAAUUCAGUGAAUCAUCGAAUCUUUGAACGCACCUUGCGCUCCUUGGUAUUCCGAGGAGCAUGCCUGUUUGAGUGUCAUUAAAUUCUCAACCAUUAUCAACUUUUGCUGAUAAUGGCUUGGAUGUGGGGGUCUAUUUUGCUGGCUUCUCAGAUAGUCAGCUCCCCUUAAAUGCAUUAGCCGGUGCCCCGCGUGGACUGUCUAUUGGUGUGAUAAUUAUCUACGCUAUAGACAUCUGCAAUCAUAUGGGUUUGCGCUGCUUCUAACAGUCUGUUGAUUCAGACAAUACAUGACAAUUUGACCUCAAAUCAGGUAGGACUACCCGCUGAACUUAAGCAUAUCAAUAAGCGGAGGA